UUGCUUUAUCUUUCUCCUUUUUAGCCAUCCUUUUCCUUCUGGCAGCAUUACUACUUUAUCCCAAUUAAUUUUUGUUUAAUUCUCCUUAAUGCAAUUAUCCAAUUUUGCUCAUUAUCAAGCAUGAUUUUUUCUCAUUUUUUUCAAUUUAGCCCUAUUUCUCCAUUUUGUUCUAUUAUAUAUUUCAACAUAUUUUGAUAUUAUCUUCUUGGUUUUGCCUUUAAAAUCUUUCUCAUUGUUGGAAAAGCUUUUCUUUUUCUUAUCUCUUGCUCUUUUUCUCUCUGUGGCAUCAUCUUCACAACUCUUCUUUUUCUUUUUAUUCUUAUCCAUGCUUCUCCUCCAUGUUGCCCUUUUAUCUCACUAUUUACUGUUUCCACACUUAAUCUAAGUCAUUUUUAACUUCAUAGUACUUUAUACACUAGUCUUGAGGUUUUUCUACUUUAAGAUCAUUAGUGAUAUAUUAGUUGUAUUUGUCAACUUUAAGUGUUUCUUAUGUGGUUUGAUUGUGUUACUGUUAUAGCAGUUUUUUCUCCUCUCUGAGAGGGAUUGUGCAUUAGGUUCUCAAGAGUAAGCCAUUUCAAUGAGAAGAUUAACCAGAAAAAAAAUCAGAAGAGAUGUUCACACCAACAGAUGCACAAGUCUCAACAGAAAGAAACUCAACAUGAUUCUUUAAUAAUCCUUCAACUACUGAGUCCAAAGAUACAGGUUUUGAUUCAGUAAUCUUAGAAAGAGUUACAGAGACUGCAACUGUUCCUUGAGACAGAGCCUGCCAGCACCUGACUGGAUUAAGAGAGCCUUUGUCCAGUGACAGAUGGAGGCAAAUACAGAGAUCCAUGGCCAGGCACCAGGCUGAGUUCCAGGAAUCUAAUUGAUGAGAGAGAGGAGAGAUACUGCAGGCAAGCAACACUGAGAUCAUGAUGGGAGGACAUGCAGAGAUGAUGGACCACGCUGAUGGAAACCCAUGAACUGUGGACUUGUGGCUAAGGAGCCCCCAUGGGACUGGACUAGGGCCUCUGGACAUGGAAAACGGUUGUUUGGCUCGAACUGUUUGGGUGGCACACAGGUAGAGGGAUCGGGAUCUGUCCCUGGUACACAGUCUUCUGGGAAUCCAGUGCCUGUGGAGUGACACCUUGCACAGCCUUGGUGCAGUGGGAGGGGGAUUGUACCUGCCUGGGCUCAGUGAGCAGGGCUCUGCUGACUCCCCAUGGAAGACCUCGAUUUGGGGGAUGUGG